rnacentral:rRNA from 1 species
CAACACGUGCGCCCAGGCGCGAAAACUUUACAAUGCCGCACCGAGAUAAGGGAACCCGAAGCCAGCUCUUACAGGCUGUCUAUAGUCUAAAAACAAGGUGACUAGUAC